rnacentral:precursor_RNA from 7 species
GAGGACCCCAUUAUGGACUGUGGGGCUGUGUUCUGCCUCCCCUGAAGGCUCUGUUGUCACUCUGGGCACUCCAUCGGAGGCAGACACUCAACCCCACACUUUGCCAUCUUCCAUGUC